rnacentral:tRNA from 3 species
AGGGAGACCUAAUUCAGGUAGGAGACGAAAAAAAAGUAGUCGCUACCAAGAAUCAAUCCCAAAAGGUCGGAGCGAGGCGAAAUUGGCUUUCAAACUAGGUUCUGGGUUCAAACAAGACCUGAAUCAGGAACAAGGGCUAUUAGCUCAGGUGGUUAGAGCGCACCCCUGAUAAGGGUGAGGUCCCUGGUUCGAGUCCAGGAUGGCCCACCUGCACAGGUGGCAAAAACAAGAGAAGCGAGGAAUCAGCACCUUAUCUUACUUAUAUAGUAAGAGAGAAUGCUGGCUCUGAGUUCAGAGUCCAGAGGAACCUUGAAAACUGCAUAGAGCUAGGUGAAAAAGCCAAAAAAGAAGACCGCAAGGUCAAGCUAAUAAGGGCUAACGGUGGAUACCUAG